rnacentral:tRNA from 1 species
ACGGGACUCGGUCAUCGGACCUCCUCCCACUUGCGCUGGAGGUGGUUCAUGCCGGCCAGCCAGCGAUCGGGUUCGGCGGCCCGGGUCCGGUA